UACGGAGGGUGCAAGCGUUGUCCGGAAUCAUUGGGUGUAAAGGGUGCGUAGGCGGACUACUAAGUCUGGGGUGAAAUCUUGCCGCUUAACGGUAAAAUGGCCUUGGAUACUGGUAGUCUUGAGUGUAGAAGAGGCAGGUGGAAUUCGUAGUGUAGCGGUGAAAUGCAUAGAUAUUACGAAGAACAUCAGUGGCGAAGGCG
rnacentral:rRNA from 1 species